rnacentral:rRNA from 1 species
UGGGGAAUAUUGGACAAUGGGCGAAAGCCUGAUCCAGCCAUGCCGCGUGUGUGAAGAAGGUCUUCGGAUUGUAAAGCACUUUAAGUUGGGAGGAAGGGCAGUAAGCGAAUACCUUGCUGUUUUGACGUUACCGACAGAAUAAGCACCGGCUAACUCUGUGCCAGCAGCCGCGGUAAUACAGAGGGUGCAAGCGUUAAUCGGAAUUACUGGGCGUAAAGCGCGCGUAGGUGGUUCGUUAAGUUGAAUGUGAAAGCCCCGGGCUAAACCUGGGAAAUGCAUCCAAAACUGGCGAGCUAGAGUAGGGCAGAGGGUGGUGGAAUUUCCUGUGUAGCGGUGAAAUGCGUAGAUAUAGGAAGGAACACCAGUGGCGAAGGCGACCACCUGGGCUCAUACUGACACUGAGGUGCGAAAGCGUGGGGAGCAAACAGG